GAGACAGCAGUCGCCGCGGUAAUACGGAGGGGGCUAGCGUUGUUCGGAAUUACUGGGCGUAAAGCGUACGUAGGCGGCUUUGUAAGUUAGAGGUGAAAGCCUGGAGCUCAACUCCAGAAUUGCCUUUAAGACUGCAUCGCUUGAACGUCGGAGAGGUGAGUGGAAUUCCGAGUGUAGAGGUGAAAUUCGUAGAUAUUCGGAAGAACACCAGUGGCGAAGGCGGCUCACUGGACGACUGUUGACGCUGAGGUACGAAAGCGUGGGGAGCAAACAGGAUUAGAUACCCCUGUAGUCCCUGUCUCUUAUAC
rnacentral:rRNA from 1 species